CCUACGGGCGGCAGCAGUGGGGAAUAUUGGGCAAUGGAGGAAACUCUGACCCAGCAACGCCGCGUGAAGGAUGAAGGUUUUCGGAUUGUAAACUUCUGUCGCGAGGGAUGAAGAAUGACGGUACCCAAAGAGGAAGCUCCGGCUAACUACGUGCCAGCAGCCGCGGUAAUACGUAGGGAGCGAGCGUUGUCCGGAAUUACUGGGUGUAAAGGGAGCGUAGGCGGGCGAGAAAGUUGAAUGUUAAAUCUACCGGCUUAACUGGUAGCUGCGUUCAAAACUUCUUGUCUUGAGUGAAGUAGAGGCAGGCGGAAUUCCUAGUGUAGCGGUGAAAUGCGUAGAUAUUAGGAGGAACACCAGUGGCGAAGGCGGCCUGCUGGGCUUUAACUGACGCUGAGGCUCGAAAGCGUGGGGAGCAAACAGGAUUAGAUACCCGAGUAGUC
rnacentral:rRNA from 1 species